UGCGUAGGGUGCAAGCGUUUGUCCGGAAUUAUUGGGCGUAAAGAGCUCGUAGGCGGUUUGUUGCGUCGGCUGUGAAAUCCCGAGGCUCAACCUCGGGUCUGCAGUGGGUACGGGCAGACUAGAGUGCGGUAGGGGAGAUUGGAAUUCCUGGUGUAGCGGUGGAAUGCGCAGAUAUCAGGAGGAACACCAAUGGCGAAGGCAGAUCUCUGGGCCGUAACUGACGCUGAGGAGCGAAAGCAUGGGGAGCGAACAGG
rnacentral:rRNA from 1 species